rnacentral:rRNA from 1 species
AACGCGAAGAACCUUACCAAGGUUUGACAUACACCGGAAACACUCAGAGAUGGGUGCCUCCUUUGGACUGGUGUACAGGUGGUGCAUGGCUGUCGUCAGCUCGUGUCGUGAGAUGUUGGGUUAAGUCCCGCAACGAGCGCAACCCUUGUUCCAUGUUGCCAGCACGCCCUUUGGGGUGGUGGGGACUCAUGGGAGACUGCCGGGGUCAACUCGGAGGAAGGUGGGGAUGACGUCAAGUCAUCAUGCCCCUUAUGUCUUGGGCUGCAAACAUGCUACAAUGGUCGGUACAGAGGGUUGCGAUGCCGUGAGGUGGAGCGAAUCCCUAAAAGCCGGUCUCAGUUCGGAUUGGGGUCUGCAACUCGACCCCAUGAAGUCGGAGUCGCUAGUAAUCGCAGAUCAGCAACGCUGCGGUGAAUACGUUCCCGGGCCUUGUACACACCGAUACUC